CUGCACUGUCAACAGGGGUGGUACCAGAGGACUAGAGAGUGGCGAAUGUUGUGCCCCUGUUCAAAAAAGGGAAUAGGGAUAACCCCGGGAAUUACAGGCCAGUUAGUCUU